rnacentral:hammerhead_ribozyme from 1 species
GCACUGCUGAGGAGUCCCAUCCUGAGACGAAACGACCGUCCAGUGC